UUUUAAGACCAUGCCGAAGACAGCAGGCGCCACAAGGCGUAAGCGCGUAAGCCACCUGCCGAGGAAAGAGUUUACAUGAAAUGUAUUUUCUGCCCUUUCGUUUUCGGAAGGGCUUUUAUAAU
rnacentral:sRNA from 1 species